GACGAACGCUGGCGGCGUGCCUAAUACAUGCAAGUAGAACGCUGAAGGAGGAGCUUGCUCUUCUGGAUGAGUUGCGAACGGGUGAGUAACGCGUAGGUAACCUGCCUGGUAGCGGGGGAUAACUAUUGGAAACGAUAGCUAAUACCGCAUAACAGUAGAUGUUGCAUGACAUUUGCUUAAAAGGUGCAAUUGCACCACUACCAGAUGGACCUGCGUUGUAUUAGCUAGUUGGUGGGGUAACGGCUCACCAAGGCGACGAUACAUAGCCGACCUGAGAGGGGGAUCGGCCACACUGGGACUGAGACACGGCCCAGACUCCUACGGGAGGCAGCAGUAGGGAAUCUUCGGCAAUGGACGGAAGUCUCACCGAGCAACGCCGCGUGAGUGAAGAAGGUUUUCGGAUCGUAAAGCUCUGUUGUAAGAGAAGAACGAGUGUGAGAGUGGAAAGUUCACACUGUGACGGUAUCUUACCAGAAAGGGACGGCUAACUACGUG
rnacentral:rRNA from 1 species